CUUUGCACUGGACUUUGAGCCUGCUUGUGUAGGAUAGGUGGGAGGCUUUGAAGCGUGGACGCCAGUUCGCGUGGAGCCAUCCUUGAAAUACCACCCUGGCAUGCUUGAGGUUCUAACUCUGGUCCGUGAUCCGGAUCGAGGACAGUGUAUGGUGGGCAGUUUGACUGGGGCGGUCUCCUCCUAAAGAGUAACGGAGGAGUACGAAGGUGCGCUCAGACCGGUCGGAAAUCGGUCGCAGAGUAUAAAGGCAAAAGCGCGCUUGACUGCGAGACAGACACGUCGAGCAGGUACGAAAGUAGGUCUUAGUGAUCCGGUGGUUCUGUAUGGAAGGGCCAUCGCUCAACGGAUAAAAGGUACUCCGGGGAUAACAGGCUGAUACCGCCCAAGAGUUCAUAUCGACGGCGGUGUUUGGCACCUCGAUGUCGGCUCAUCACAUCCUGGGGCUGAAGCCGGUCCCAAGGGUAUGGCUGUUCGCCAUUUAAAGUGGUACGCGAGCUGGGUUUAGAACGUCGUGAGACAGUUCGGUCCCUAUCUGCCGUGGACGUUUGAGAUUUGAGAGGGGCUGCUCCUAGUACGAGAGGACCGGAGUGGACGAACCUCUGGUGUUCCGGUUGUCACGCCAGUGGCAUUGCCGGGUAGCUAUGUUCGGAAAAGAUAACCGCUGAAAGCAUCUAAGCGGGAAACUUGCCUCAAGAUGAGAUCUCACUGGGAACUUGAUUCCCCUGAAGGGCCGUCGAAGACUACGACGUUGAUAGGCUGGGUGUGUAAGCGUUGUGAGGCGUUGAGCUAACCAGUACUAAUUGCCCGUGAGGCUUGACCAUAUAACACCCAAACA
rnacentral:rRNA from 1 species